AACCGUGUGAAGUAGGUAAUAGG
rnacentral:piRNA from 1 species